GAUGAAGAACGUAGCGAAUUGCGAUAUGUAAUGUGAAUUGCAGAAUUCAGUGAAUCAUCGAAUCUUUGAACGCACAUUGCGCCCGCCAGUAUUCUGGCGGGCAUGCCUGUUCGAGCGUCAUUUCAACCAUCAAGCCCCCGGCUUGUGUUGGGGACCUGCGGCUGCCGCAGGCCCUGAAAACCAGUGGCGGGCUCGCUAGUCACUCCGAGCGUAGUAAUACAUCUCGCUCAGGGCGUGCUGCGGGUUCCGGCCGUUAAAAAGCCUUAUUUACCCAAGGUUGACCUCGGAUCAGGUAGGAAGACCCGCUGAACUUAAGCAUAUCAAUAAGCGGAGGA
rnacentral:misc_RNA from 1 species